rnacentral:rRNA from 1 species
AUGGACGUUAAGACAGCUUUCCUAAAUGGAGAGUUGGAGGAGGAAAUUUACAUGGAACAACCCGAUGGUUUUGUAGUAGAUGGUCAGGAAGGAAAAGUGUGUAAAUUGUUGAAAUCUUUGUAUGGUUUGAGACAAGCACCUAAGCAGUGGCACGAGAAGUUCGAAAGAACUUUGACAUCUAUGGGCUUUGUUGCAAACGAAGCCGACAAGUGUGUGUACUAUCGCCAUGGUGGGGGCGAAGGAGUUAUAUUAUGUUUGUAUGUUGAUGCCAUACUUAUAUUUGGAACAAAUCUCAAGGUCAUUCAGGAAGUGGAAGAUUUUCUGAAUCAAAACUUUGAGAUGAAAGACUUUGGAGUAGCUGAUGUUAUCUUGAACAUCAAGCUUUUAAGAGGUGGUGAUGGUGGGAUCACUCUCUUGCAGUCUCACUAUGUGGAGAAGAUUCUGGAUCGCUUUGGAUAUUCAGAUUGCAAACCUUCUCCGACACCUUAUGAUCCGAGUGUUUUAAUUCGGAAGAACGAAGGAGAAACAAAGGAUCAAUUGAGAUAUUUUCAAAUCAUUGGCUCGCUUAUGUAUUUAGCUAGUGCUACGAGGCCUGACAUCUCGUUUUCCGUGAGUAAACUAAGCCGGUUUGUUUCAAACCCGGGAGAUGUUCAUUGGCAUGCACUUGAGAGAAUAAUGCGCUAUCUGAAAGGUACUGCGAGUUAUGGGCUUCACUAUACCGGGUAUCCAAGAGUACUUGAAGGUUAUAGUGAUGCAAAUUGGAUAUCUGAUGCUGAUGAGCUUAAAGCGACAAAUGGUUAUGUGUUUACACUUGGUGGUGCUGCUGUUUCCUGGAAACACGUGAGAAGGAGACUGAAAUCUGUCAGGUUCAUGAGAAACUCCGGAGUUAUAGCGUUGGACUAUAUAAACACAUCGAAGAAUCUGGCAGAUCCCUCUACAAAGGGUUUAUCACAAAAUGUGAUAGACAAUGCAUCGAAGGAGAUGGGAUUGAGACCCACUAUAUAA